rnacentral:rRNA from 1 species
CACGCAGGCGGUCUCUUAAGUUUGUAGGGACAGGGCACAGCUCAACUGUGUCAGGCUUACGAAAACUGGGAGACUUGAGGGCUUCAGAGGGAUGGGGAAUUCCGGGUGGAGUGGUGAAAUGCGUAGAGAUCCGGAAGAACACCAAAGGCGAAGGCACCAUCCUGGGGAGUCACUGACGCUCGGGUGCGAAAGCCAGGGGAGCGAACGGGAUUAGAUACCCCGGUAGUCCUGGCCGUAAACGAUGACCAUUAGAUGUGGGAGGGAUCGACCCCUUCCGUGUCGAAGCAUACGCAUUAAAUGGUCCGCCUGGGGAGUACGGUCGCAAGAUUAAA